rnacentral:rRNA from 1 species
AUUGAACGCUGGCGGCAUGCUUUACACAUGCAAGUCGAACGGUAACAGGCCUUCGGGCGCUGACGAGUGGCGAACGGGUGAGUAAUGCAUCGGAACGUGCCCAGUCGUGGGGGAUAACGCAGCGGAAGCUGCGCUAAUACCGCAUACGAUCUAUGGAUGAAAGCGGGGGACCGUAAGGCCUCGCGCGAUUGGAGCGGCCGAUGUCAGAUUAGGUAGUUGGUGGGGUAAAGGCUCACCAAGCCAACGAUCUGUAGCUGGUCUGAGAGGACGACCAGCCACACUGGGACUGAGACACGGCCCAGACUCCUACGGGAGGCAGCAGUGGGGAAUUUUGGACAAUGGGCGCAAGCCUGAUCCAGCAAUGCCGCGUGCAGGAAGAAGGCCUUCGGGUUGUAAACUGCUUUUGUACGGAACGAAGCGGUUCUCUCUAAUACAGGGGGCUAAUGACGGUACCGUAAGAAUAAGCACCGGCUAACUACGUGCCAGCAGCCGCAGUAAAAC